AACCUAGCACACCUGCGGUGUGUACCUGCGGAGGGAUCAUUAAUAGGUCUGUCGAAAUUGAUUUUUUAAAAUCAUUUCGACAAUCCUGAUCAUUCCCUAUGUGCACUUUCGAAAAUAAUGCUUUGGUAGACUCACGUCUACCAAAAGUUUUUAACUAUGGCCUUAUUUUCUUGACUGAUGAAAUAAAAUUGAAAUAUAAAACAACUUUUAACAAUGGAUCU
rnacentral:misc_RNA from 1 species